AUUAUCAUUGGAAUAAAUUUUUAAAUCGUUUCGUUGUAGAAUCAACUGAGUCAAAAAAGUAAGGUUAGAUUUUUAUCGUUUUGAUUGUUAAUCAUAUCUUUUAUAGAAUAAACGAUCAUCAAAUUAAUCUUCGUGAGAAUAUUAUUCUAAUCUAUGUAUCCAAUAUAAUCUGUUUAAUAUCUACGUGUCUAAAUAUAAUCCAUAUAAUUAAAAUUGUAAAGAAAAAGAAAAAAAAAAGAAAAGAAAAAAAAGAAUAUCAUUGGAAUAAAUUCUUAGAUUGUUUCGUUAUAAAAUGAAAUGAAUAUUCGAUAAUACGUGGAAAAUUACAAGAAGAGCUAGUGAAGUUCCCUCGAGUCAUCGUUCCGACACUUGUUGAAUUUCCAUUCAUAGUACGAGUGUGUACACUUCUCUCCUACACCACUAACCAUUAUGGAGGACAUUAAAAUACGAUCGAAGUUAGACCUCGUUUAACUACUCUACUUAAAAUACUUUAUGGAAAGACACGAUAGCAUAUCUCUCAUUACCAUCUCAUUACCAUUGUAUUCAUUUCUCUCUUUGGUUCUUUGUUUUCUUUUUAUUUUAUUUUAUUCCAUUUUUUUUAUUUCUCUCUUUCGAAAAUUAUAAUUUCUAAUUUACGAAACGUUGUUUUUGUUGUUACGCAUAAAAAAAAAUCGUAAUUUGAAUUUUUCCAAACUAUUCCAUCGAGUCGUGUCAAACUCGACGUAUCCAACGAAUACAAAAUAUAAAAUAAAGCUCGAUAUUAAUAAACAAAAUAUAUAUAUAUGUAGUAAUACAUAUAUAGUAAUAAUGGUUCUCAAUCAUUUUUAUUCUUUUUUUAAAAUAAUAAUUAUCGUAUUUUUAUUAAUAUAAAAAAUUAAUGAGAUAAUAGAACAUGGUGUAAUGUAUGUUAUCUAAAAAAAAAAAGAAAUAAGAUCCGAAUGAGUAUAUAUAUAUAUAUAUAUAAAGUUAUGAUAAUCUAAUCUAAUCUAAUAUUAUAUAUUAUAUAUAAAUAGUACUAUAUAUGUAUACAUUAUAGUUAGCUACAUUAGUACUACAUACAACACACACACAUAUAUCAUAUUUGCAUUUACAAAAAAAAGAAUUCGUUUCUAAAACAAUACAUAACAAUAUGUAUAACGUAUAAUGUAAGUAGUCGAAGAGAAAUAAUACAAGAGUCGAUAAUAGUAUAACCAUAGUAUACCCCAUAAGAGAAUAUUUAUAGAAAGCACGUUUUUCAUUCCGCCGGAAUGAAAAAGCUGCUCGGCUUCACAGCGAAGGCACGUAUAGCCAAUAAAUCGAUAGGACGAUAAAGUAUCGAUAUGGAAAAUUCUGCCUAUCAUAGGCGACGGGACGAGAGUUCCGAAUAUCAUCUUUCACAUCUUGUCAAACACGAUCUCCAUCUCGUUGGCCAGGAGAAUACGAAAUUCAUUCGUAUCUCGAUCACAGUAUACACAAUCAUCAGUCAAUUUUUAUUUUUAUUACGUAACUGUGUUAUUUCGUAUGCAUGUAUAUAUAUAUAUAGUAUGUGUAUAUAAAUUUCUCUUCAAAAUCUUGUUCUUUUUUAACUUUCCAUUGUACCAUUGAUCGAUGAAUCGAUUUUAUUGAAAAAAAUUCCCCACAAAUCGAACAAUAUUCCAUUGACGAAAUACUUCUUAGAUUCAAUGAUUUUCGUUGAUGAAGCAUAUCGCAGAUCAACAUUAUUUUCAUCUACGACUUAUUUCCCGAUAGAUCAUUUCCAUUGACGACAUUUUUCGUAGAAACAUUAUUUCUCCAUAGAUCGUAAUUAUUUUCAUUAAUGAUCUCUAUAGAUCUAUGUAUUAAAUUAUAUUUUAUUUCAAAAAUUCUCUAUAGAUCGAUAUUAAUUUCGUUGAACGAUAUUCUUCGAUAUCAUUACGAAGAAUUUUCGUUAGGUUAGAAUUUCACCGUAGAUCAAACGUAAUCGAUUGUCAUUGAUUCACUCAUAAAUCGAUAUUAUUUGUAUAUCGAUAAAAAUUCAUCAUAGAAAUAUCGAACUAAAUUACCGUUGACUAAAUUUGACGCAGAAUGAAAGUUAUUUUCGUUAUUGAACGUCACACUUGCCUUGAUAAAUUCUUUUUAUCGAUGAACAAAAAAAAAAAGAAGAGAAGAAGAAGAACAAGAACAAGUAUAAGAAAAAGAACAAGUUUAAGAAAAAGAACAAGAGAAGGAAGAAGAAGAUGAAAAGAAAAAAUAAAAUGUCAACGUAGCAUGGAAAGGGUUAUUAUUUUCCAUUUACGUACAUAAAUGCAUACAUAAAUAUUUACAUGCAUACUUACGGGAAAAGAUAAUGGAAUGGCGUUGACGAGGCCGUAAAGAGAACAGCACAAUACAAACCAUUAAGAAUCUUCAAGAUCCUUCAAAAGGGAAAGAAAGAGAAAUAAAAAGAGAAAAAAGAGAGAAAGAGAGAAAGAAAGAAAGAAAGAAAGCGACAAACAAAGAAAUGAUAGAAUCUUAUUGUUAGAUACGACAAGAAAGAAGAUAGUACAUAUUGACAGUAGAUCAGGGCUAAGUACGCACGAAGGUGUAAUAAAUUCCCUCAAAGAAACUCCUUCGGGAGCUUCUCUCAUUCCAUUUUCCUCACUAUCUACACAAGCAAUAUAUAUAUAUAUAUAUAUAUACAUAUAUAUAUACAUAUGUAUAUGCAUAUAUAUAUAUAUAUGUAUAUGUAACACAUGAUGAGGUUGUCACGCAUGAGCGCGUGACCGCUCAUUUGGAGCACUUGGAUGUAUUUUUAGACUUUCUCUCUCUCUCUCUCUCUCUCUCUCUCUCUCUCUCUCUCUCUCUCUCUCUCUCUCUCUCUUUC